UACGGGGGGUGCGAGCGUUGUCCGGAAUCACUGGGCGUAAAGGGCGCGUAGGUGGCGUGAUAAGGGUGUGGUGAAAGCCCGGGGCUCAACCCCGGGUCUGCCAUGCCGACUGUCAGGCUAGAGUACUGUAGGGGCAGGCGGAAUUCCGGGUGUAGCGGUGGAAUGCGUAGAUAUCGAGAGGAACACCUGCGGCGAAGGCGGGUUGCUGGGCUGACACUGACGCUGAGGCGCGAAAGCUAGGGGAGCGAACGGG
rnacentral:rRNA from 1 species